GACAGAGGGUGCAAACGUUGUUCGGAAUUACUGGGCGUAAAGCGCGUGUAGGCGGUUCGGAAAGUCGGAUGUGAAAGCCCUGGGCUCAACCCAGGAAGUGCAUUCGAAACUCCCGAACUCGAGUCCUGGAGAGGAAGGCGGAAUUCUCGGUGUAGAGGUGAAAUUCGUAGAUAUCGAGAGGAACAUCGGUGGCGAAGGCGGCCUUCUGGACAGCGACUGACGCUGAGACGCGAAAGCGUGGGGGGCAAACAGG
rnacentral:rRNA from 1 species